rnacentral:lncRNA from 1 species
GCCUAGGAAUAAUAAACCGCAUUAUUUGACAAACUUCAUAAUAAAAUUAGAUGGAGGGGUGUAUAUAUUAGUGCGAAAAGAUGUUUUUGUCGACGCUUGCGCUAUAUGUUUCCGAUACUAAAUACCAGAUAAAGUUACCCUAUUUUCUUUGAUUUAAAUGGAAAACAAAAAUUAAGUUUGUUUUUUCUUGAGGUGUCAUUCUACCAUUGAUUUUCCCUAGUAAGUCCUUGUUAAAUUUGCACUUUUUAAAAAA